rnacentral:rRNA from 1 species
CACGGGGGGAGCAAGCGUUGUUCGGAAUCACUGGGCGUAAAGCGCACGUAGGCGGCUUUGUAAGUUAGAGGUGAAAGCCCGGGGCUCAACCCCGGAAUUGCCUUUAAGACUGCAUCGCUAGAAUUGUGGAGAGGUAAGUGGAAUUCCGAGUGUAGAGGUGAAAUUCGUAGAUAUUCGGAAGAACACCAGUGGCGAAGGCGACUUACUGGACACAUAUUGACGCUGAGGUGCGAAAGCGUGGGGAGCAAACAGG